UUACGAUGGGGUGACGCAUAAGGAUAAGCUGGACCUCCUAUGGCUAUGGGGUUCGAUACGCGUAAGCUGGUUUCUCUAGGCAAAUCCGGAGAGGCUUAACAGUGAGGCGUAAAGCAGUAAGCCGUAUGGCUGAAAGCAGCUGAUUUCGUGGUGCCAAGAAAAAACCUCUAAGGAGAGAGAUUGGGAACCGUACCACAAACCGACUCAGGUAGACGAGGAGAAUAUCCAAAGGCGCUCGAGUGAAAGCUUGUUAAGGAACUCGGCAAAUUAGACCCGUAACUUCGGGAGAAGGGUCGCCCAUCGUAAGAUGGGCCGCAGUGAAACGCGAACGGCGACUGUUUAACAAAAACACAGGUCUCUGCAAAGUCAAAAACGACGUAUAGGGGCUGACUCCUGCCCGGUGCCGGAAGGUUAAAAGGAGAGGUUAGCCGCAAGGCGAAGCUUUGAAUUGAAGCCCCGGUGAACGGCGGCCGUAACGAUAACGGUCCUAAGGUAGCGAAAUUCCUUGUCGGGUAAGUUCCGACCUGCACGAAUGGAGUAACGAUCGUUCGACUGUCUUAACGAGUUGCUCGGCGAACUUGUAGUACCGGUGAAGAUGCCGGUUACCCGCAGCUAGACGAAAAGACCCCGUGCACCUUUACUAUACUUUUACUAUGAGUUACGGCCAUUGCUGCGCAGGAUAGGUGGGAGGCUUUGAUACCGGACUUUUGGGUUCGGUGGAGCCAACGGUGAGAUACCACCCUGCGAUUGUUGUGAUUCUAACCUCCUCCCGUAAUCCGGGAGAGGGACAUAGUAAGACGGGUAGUUUGACUGGGGCGGUCGCCUCCUAAAUUGUAACGGAGGCGCGCGAAGCUACACUCAGGUCGUUUGGAAAUCGACCGUCGAGUGCAAAGGCAUAAGUGUGGUUAACUGCGAGACCUACAAGUCGAGCAGAUGCGAAAGCAGGCCUUAGUGAUCCGGUGGUUCUGUAUGGAAGGGCCAUCGCUCAACGGAUAAAAGGUACGCCGGGGAUAACAGGCUGAUCAUUGCCAAGAGUUCAUAUCGACGCAAUGGUUUGGCACCUCGAUGUCGGCUCAUCACAUCCUGGAGCUGUAGAAGGUUCCAAGGGUUAGGCUGUUCGCCUAUUAAAGUGGUACGUGAGCUGGGUUCAGAACGUCGCGAGACAGUUCGGUCUCUAUCUGCUGUGGGCGUAGGAGAUUUGAAGAGGGCUGUCCUUAGUACGAGAGGACCGGGAUGGACGAACCUCUUGUGUUCCAGUUGUCUUGCCAAAGGCACGGCUGGGUAGCGAGGUUCGGUUGUGAUAACCGCUGAAUGCAUAUAAGCGGGAAGCACGCUCUAAGAUGAGAUCUCCCAACCCAAAAGGGAAAUGAAGGGCCCAGGAAGACCACCUGGUUGAUAGGCUGGAGGUUGAAGCGCAGUAAUGUGUGUAGCUUACCAGUACUAAUCGCCCGUUCGGCUUGUCCAA
rnacentral:rRNA from 1 species